rnacentral:lncRNA from 1 species
AGCCUUAUUAAAUCAGAAUAAGUGAGAGUGGGACCCAGGUGUCAAUAUUUUUAAAGCUCUUCCAGUGUUUGCAAUGGUGGCUAAAGUUGAGAACCACUUGCUUAAAGGUCGAGGAAGGAAGGUAGGAAGGAAUAAAGGAAGGAAGGAACCCAAAUGAGUGCUAGGUUGAAAAGAAUAUUCCCCCCUCUUUCUGCUUCCAGGUGGGAUGAUUUUGUAGAUUAAUAAUCCUGGCUACUUUCUGAUCUCACUCUUUGCCCCCUAACGUAGUAGAACAAAAUCCGACUGAGGAGUUUGGGAGAAGUAACUGGGCAUGCGUUUGCCUCCCUUCUUUCUCCUUUGGAUCCUCCUACUGAAAGAAGUGCUCUCCCCUGGCUGAAAGUUGCAGGUCCUUCUAGUUGUGGGAUGUGGGACGCCGCCUCAACGUGGCCUGACGAGCGGUGCCAUGUCCGCGCCCAGGAUCCGAACCCUGGGCCACUGCAGUGGAGAGCCCGAACUUAACCACUCGGCCACGGAGCCGGCCCCGCUAAGAAAAUUUUUAUGCCCCUUCCUUUAUGUCCAAAAUUACAAGCAUUGCACCAAAUGUAACUUUAACUUUUUAACUUGGUUUAUCUUUCAUUUCUAGAUUUUAUGGCAGUCAUGACUGGAUAGAUUCAGUCACUCAGAUACUAAGGAUAGAAGCAAUUUACAUAGGAAUACUUGCUAAGUCUUAUUCAAAAUGUUCUGAAGAUUCUCUCUUUUCUGGCUUGUAUGUAGGCAAAGUAUUUCCCACUUUUUGGUUAUUCCUACUCUAUCUUCAUUUUUCUUUUGGAAUUUUUUGAACCACACAACUUUUUAGAGUCACACUACAGAGUUUACACUAUAGAUAGUAGUAAAUCACUCAUUUGCAGCAAAAGGCAUUACGCAAUAUUGGCUGGGACUGCCAACUUCAGAUUACUGUAGUCGCAUCGUGAAAUAUGUGUAUGUGCUUUGUGGAAAUAGUCAACACAGAGAGGUCAGCAUCAGCCAGGAGCACCUUUUGAAAUUUUCACUUGAAGUUAUUGCCUUCCUCCAUAUGAGCUGGACCACGAUGCGCCUGUGAUGUAGUCAUGUGUGGAAACUGACACCACAAUUCCUGUAUAUUUCCUGAUGCUUUAGUGUCUCUUGUAGACUGAUCACACUGGGCACCUACAUUUCUGGCUCCUCCCUCAAUCAGGGGCUGACCAGGAUGCAAGAGAAGAGACUUCUCGUCAAAAUGCCAAAGAGAUGCCAGGCUUCAAGUUAGUGGUGUUUGGAUUAUUCAGUAGAGUAGCAAGUUGUGAUGAUGGUGGCCAGGUCAGAGAUGGUGGGCUAGGUCUUAUGUGCAUACCUUUUAAUUAAAAGUCCUGAGGGCUUACCCGGUAGAUGAAUGUGGGGUGGAUUCUGAGGAUGAGAGGUUUAUAGAAUGUGAUGAUUUUUG